GUGCACCAGGCGCGAAACCUCCGCAAUACACGAAAGUGUGACGGGGCCAUCCCGAGUGCCGUCCGCUGAGGACGACUUUUCCCCAGUGUACACAGCUGGGGGAAUAAGGAGAGGGCAAGCCUGGUGUCAGCCGCCGCGGUAAUACCAGCUCUCCGAGUGGUGGGGACGCUUAUUGGGCCUAAAGCAUCCGUAGCCGGCUGGGCAAGUCCUCCGUUAAAUCCAACGAUUCAAUCGUUGGGCUGCGGGGGAUACUGUCCAGCUUGGGGGCGGGAGAGGCCGACGGUAUUCCCGGGGUAGGGGUGAAAUCCUAUAAUCCCGGGAGGACCACCAGUGGCGAAGGCUGUCGGCUAGAACGCGCCCGACGGUGAGGGAUGAAAGCUGGGGGAGCGAACCGGAUUAGAUA
rnacentral:rRNA from 1 species